GCAUAUCAAUAAGCGGAGGGAAAAGAAACCAACAGGGAUUGCCCCAGUAACGGCGAGUGAAGCGGCAACAGCUCAAAUUUGAAAUCUGGUCCCCCCGCGGGGCCCGAGUUGUAAUUUGAAGAGGAUGCUUCUGGCAAGGUGCCGUCCGAGUUUCCCUGGAACGGGACGCCGCAGAGGGUGAGAGCCCCGUACGGUCGGACGCCGAGCCUCUGUGAAGCUCCUUCGACGAGUCGAGUAGUUUGGGAAUGCUGCUCAAAAUGGGAGGUAAACCCCUUCUAAAGCUAAAAUACCGGCCAGAGACCGAUAGCGCACAAGUAGAGUGAUCGAAAGAUGAAAAAGCACUUUGAAAAGAGAGUUAAAAAGCACGUGAAAUUGUUGAAAGGGAAGCGCUUGCGACCAGACUCGCGCCCGUCGGAUCAGCCGUCGCUCGUCGGCGGCGCACUCCGGCGGGCUCGGGCCAGCAUCAGUUCGCCUCGGGGGGAGAAAGGCGGGCGGGAAUGUGGCUCUACGGAGUGUUAUAGCCCGCCGCGUAAUACCCCCGGGCGGACUGAGGACCGCGCGUAUGCAAGGAUGCUGGCGUAAUGGUCGUCAGCGACCCGUCUUGAAACACGGACCAAGGAGUCGUCCUAAUAUGCGAGUGUACGGGUGUCAAACCCCUGCGCGUAAUGAAAGUGAACGGAGGUGAGAGCUUCGGCGCAUCAUCGACCGAUCCUGAUGUUCUCGGAUGGAUUUGAGUAAGAGCAUAUUGGGCCGGACCCGAAAGAAGGUGAACUAUGCCUGUGUAGGGUAAAGCCAGAGAAACUCUGGUGGAGGCUCGCAGCGGUUCUGACGUGCAAAUCGAUCGUCAAACAUGGGCAUGGGGCGAAAGACUAAUCGAACCUUCUAGUAGCUGGUUUCGC
rnacentral:rRNA from 1 species